AGCUUGCAGAGUAGCAGAAUCGUAACCAAUGAGGUUUAUCCGAGGUGCGAUUAUUGCUAAUUAAAAGAUUUUAUUUAUUUAU
rnacentral:snRNA from 1 species